UACGGGGGGAGCAAGCGUUGUUCGGAUUUACUGGGCGUAAAGGGCGCGUAGGCGGCCACCGCAAGUCGACUGUGAAAUCUCCGGGCUUAACCCGGAAAGGUCAGCCGAUACUGCGGGGCUAGAGUGCAGAAGGGGCAACUGGAAUUCUCGGUGUAGCGGUGAAAUGCGUAGAUAUCGAGAGGAACACCUGCGGCGAAGGCGGGUUGCUGGGCUGACACGUGACGCUGAGGCGCGAAAGCGUGGGGAGCGAACAGG
rnacentral:rRNA from 1 species